rnacentral:rRNA from 1 species
ACGCUGGCGGCGUGCCUAACACAUGCAAGUCGAACGAAGCACUUUGAUCGAUUUCUUCGGAUUGAAAUUUAGUGACUGAGUGGCGGACGGGUGAGUAACGCGUGGGUAACCUGCCUCACACAGGGGGAUAACAGUUGGAAACGGCUGCUAAUACCGCAUAAGCGCACAGCACCGCAUGGUACAGUGUGAAAAAACUCCGGUGGUGUGAGAUGGACCCGCGUCUGAUUAGCUAGUUGGCAGGGUAACGGCCUACCAAGGCGACGAUCAGUAGCCGACCUGAGAGGGUGACCGGCCACAUUGGGACUGAGACACGGCCCAAACUCCUACGGGAGGCAGCAGUGGGGAAUAUUGCACAAUGGGGGAAACCCUGAUGCAGCGACGCCGCGUGAGCGAAGAAGUAUUUCGGUAUGUAAAGCUCUAUCAGCAGGGAAGAAAAAAUGACGGUACCUGACUAAGAAGCCCCGGCUAACUACGUG